rnacentral:lncRNA from 1 species
AGGUUGCUAUUCGAGUCAAUCCGUAUAAAAUAGCUUGAUUGGUAAAAUGACCAGGAGGAUUCACUGCCUUUUCCAAAGGAUUCUCGCGUGCCCUAUAUGUGUGUUUUGCUCCUUAUUAUUGUGUUUUCCAAUAAUUUUUUGGUUGAUGUGUUGUCUCUGUACCCUGCUAAUCUACCUCACUUACAAAUUUAAUAUAAUGUUGUGAGCUGAGUUAACACAAAGAAAGUCGCAGUAUCCUGCACACUCCUAGCAUUUGUUGUUCUACUUCUGUUCAAUCAAACUAAAAAUUAGUUCAGGCUAAAAAUUAGUUCAGGCUAAUUUAUAUAGUGACAAAAAAAUACCAUUAAAAUUCAUAAAAAAAUCAGUAAGUACCAUUAAAAUACAAGUAUAGAUAUGCCUUUAAAGUUUUAAUGCAUCUCACUUUCGCCACUGAGUUUAACUGCUUGUUUUAUACUUUCAGAGAACUAUUGGUAGGACUAGUGGUUUAAUUUUAUUCCAUAAAGACCUAACUCAAAACACUAAUUUCAUUUCGUAAAAAUGUUGGACGUUCUUCAUUGCUGAGAAAUUAAGUAAAAAAAGUUGAGGGUGUGUUUUUCUCCCCAAGAGUAGGAUUCUAUGUACCCUGAUGUUGUUGCUAGCAAUACUUGAAAUUGAUUGGUUCUGCUUUAGUAGUGGCGAAGGUAUGAGGUAUUCUCAUCUUAGGUAUUUCAUAUAGCUUGCAUCUUGCAUUUUCAAUGCUUUUCUUAAAGGAGAAUAUGAAGUAAACACUCGAUACUUCCAUAAACUAAUCCAUUUUAUAGGUAAAUUGACGUAAAGGGGAAGGGGGUCCGUUGGGUAAAAACUUGUUGGAAGGUACUUAGUGAUGCCAAGAUAGAACCACCAAUCCAGACACUAUACUUCCUCUCAAGAGGUGCAACCACCUUGAUUUUCAUGUUGCUUGGUGCUAGAACACUGAUUUCCUUGCUCAUACGAUCAACAAUUCUAGGAAACAUAGUAGACUCACCACCACUAUACAAUUAUACAUCACAAUACUUAACACUAAGGAAGAAUGAAAAAAAAAUCUUUUUUUUUGAAGAUAUAAAGGCUAACUAAGUAAUUUAAAUAUUCAUAAACUGUAAACAAAGUAGCUCCCAAUUUUGUUCAGACAUAUGGUCCAUUUGGAGUUGCCAUGAAGUUCCUGUGAAAAGUUAUAGCAUACCAUCUUUAUUUGACAAUUUGUAUUAGACACAGACUUCAAAGAAAUUUGUAAUUACAUGAUGUACAAACUGUAAUUUAUACAAAGGGAACUUUAAAAGCUUAGUUAAUUAGGUCACUACUAAAUAUAACCUUAUUAUGGAUUAUUGAUAACAAUAUGACUCCUUACAAUGUAACGUGGGCUUCUCCAUAUAAGGGAACAUGAUACAAUUUUGCUACUUCCAAUAGAUGUGGCUUUCACAACUACUUUGAAGCUCCUAUUCUGCUAAAACUAGAAGAGAAAACUUAUAAAUAUAUUGUAAAUCAAAUGAUUCAUUAUUUUUCAUUUUUCCUCAGGUAAAGAAAAAUAUAGAGGAGAAAACUCAUCAACACAUAGAUGCUCGAUAAAAGCCCAGGUACUAUAGUUAAUUCCUUUUGUAUUUUCAUAUCAUCAUGUGGUAUGCAUUUAACAUACAUGUCUAUAUAUUUAUGUAUGUAUGUGUAUGCUAUUUAAACGAUCAAAAAUAAUUAUCCAAAAUCAAAGGCAUAUGUAUAAUCACUGAUCAAAAGUAAUAUUCUAAAUUCAUAAUCACUCUUCAUCUAAAGUAUAGUGAAAAGUAGUAGUACACCAAAUUUUAAGUAAGUUGAUGUACUGAGCGGAAAAGUAUUACUGUACCAAAUAAAAUAGAUAGGGGGCUGUGAUUUGCAAAAUGCAUCAGAACAAAUGAUUAUGAACUUUGAAGAGCUUACACUCUACAGAACACAUAAGGAUGUGCCAGAGAAAUAGGUUGCACACUGCGGGAUGUGAACAAUAUAGGAUGUGCAUGGUUGAGUAGACCAACAGAGGAUGCCAUAUUUGUGCAAAAAUGUUGUCAAUGAGCAAUGGGUCUUGGCUGUCAGUUUGAAAUAGGUCAAGUGUAAGUGUUUUUGUGUGGAUCGUUUAUGAAGAGUUUCAAACUCUAUGUUUCUAAUGAUAAAACACAAGAAAUCAUAUAAGAAUAUAUAAUGGUGGCUUGAGAAACUCAGAAAAGGAGAGCAAAAAAGUUUUUUUUAAUAUACCUAUCCAUCAUAGUGUUAUAACAACUCCAUUAUGCUAAGAUUGUGGCAUGACAUGUGCAAUUAUAUAACGUCAAAAGGUUCAUAAUAACUAGUUUAGUAACAACCUUCUUUGACAUGAUAGUGUUAUAACAUGCUAUUAUGCCCUAGCUUAUACAAAAUGAAAACUGAUAUUUUCAUAGUAGAUAUUUAUCCCACCUAAGUGGGAGAUACCUUAAUCACUUUUGUUGUCAUUGUUGUAUGUCAGCAAAUUUCUUUUCAAAAUUACGCUAUUCAUUUAUUACUUUUUUUAUUUUAAUGUAAGAAAUAUUUAUUACUCAAAAUUUUGUUUUUUAUAUGCAUUUCUUGGAUUUAUGUAGAUUUUGUCCUUUGGCAGGUUUGAUGGAGUUGUUCCAGAGCCCCAGAAUGUUUAACACUUUGCUUGCAUAUAUUGCUUCAAGAAAAGAUGUUCCAAAACAUUUUGCUGCAAUGGCAGCUAAUUGGUU